UCUGAAGAGCUGCUUUAAGGAGAGCAAAAAUUUUCAGCAACCAAAGGAAAAGAAAAGAAUGAAAUUCACAGAUUCGCCUGUAAUCGACCUGCCGGUGCUUGACACGCGCCUCUCCAUUCAGCAAGACAACGGCUCGAUGCACGUUGGCACUUCUGUCUGGCCCUGCUCCUUGGUCCUAGUCAAGUUCUCCGAACGCUGGCACCCGCAAACAUUUGCCGUGAGUGAUACGCACCCCACCAACCCUUAUGCUGACCUCCUAAACUUCACCAACAAGCGAGGCGUGGAGCUUGGAGCCGGCUGCGGAGUAGCCGCCAUGGGACUCUACCUGCUCGGCCUGCACGACGUCGUAAUUACAGACAUUGCUCCUGUUAUGCCAGCCCUAAAGCACAAUUUGAAGAGGAACAAGCCAGUUUUGAAGAAGACCCUAAAGACGGCCCAGUUGUAUUGGGCGAAAGAGGAGCAGAUUCAGGCAUUAGGCCCGCCUUUUGAUUUUGUAAUUGCGACGGACGUGGUUUAUUUGGAGGAGACGGUGGCGCCGUUAAUUAGGGCAAUGGAAAGUUUGGUGGCAGAUGACGGUGUCGUUUUAUUGGGUUACCAGCUGAGGUCGCCGGAGGCUCAUAAAUUAUUCUGGGAAAUGUGCGGGACCGUUUUUGAGGUGGAGAAGAUCCCACACGAGCAUUUGCACCCGGACUACGCUUACGAGGAGACUGAUGUUUAUGUUUUCAGGAAGAAAAAGCAGGAUGUUUAACAUAUCUAUCAAUUUUGGGAUCAUAUGGGCCAGUUAAAGGGACCUAGCCUUAAUUCCCAACGAUGGGUGUUGAAGCAGAAGAUACUUAAGUUAUUGGGGAGAUAUUUGAUGGAAGUCAAUGGUGAGUUGAUUCAUUUCGGACUGCACAUAUCUUUGGAAGGAAAACAACUCCAUCUGACAUAGAUAACCUGGUUACAUCAAGAAAAGUUGUUCGAAAGGUGAAGCAGGCUCGUGUAAUUUCUUGGACUCAAAUGGGCAUUGUGUCUCUUUUUAUAGGAGAUGGUAAUUUCGCUAAGUAAGAUAUGUACAUCUUCAUGGCAAUGCGCUAGUUGUCAUGAUAGAGGACUAUCAUGCUUGUACUCGGUCGCUCCUCCUGCUUCGACUGUGCGGCAGAGGCCUCCUCUUCUCAAGAUAUGACAUAGCCGGACCUUCCCCUUUCCUCCGAAGAGUAGAAACAGGAGAGCAAAAAAAAAAAAAAAAAAAAAAAAAAA